CAGCAGCCGCGGUAAUACAGAGGGUGCAAGCGUUAAUCGGAAUUACUGGGCGUAAAGCGUGCGUAGACGGUUACAUAAGUCGGGUGUGAAAGCCCCGGGCUCAACCUGGGAAUUGCAUUCGAGACUGCGUAGCUAGGGUGCGGAAGAGGGAAGCGGAAUUUCCGGUGUAGCGGUGAAAUGCGUAGAUAUCGGAAGGAACACCAGUGGCGAAAGCGGCUUCCUGGUCCAGCACCGACGUUCAGGCACGAAAGCGUGGGGAGCAAGCAGGAUUAGAUACCCUGGUAGUCCACGCCAUAAACGAUGAGAACUAGACGUUGAAGGGGUAAGCCCUCCAGUGUCGUAGCUAACGCGCUAAGUUCUCCGCCUGGGGAGUACGGCCGCAAGGUCGAAACUCAAAGAAAUUGACGG
rnacentral:rRNA from 1 species